ensembl:lncRNA
AAAAAAGAGAAAAAGGAGAAAAGAAAAAAAAUGAACAAAAAAGAGAAAAAAGAGAAAAGAAAAUAAAUGAACAAAAAUAAGAAAAAAGAGAAAAGCUAAAAAAAGAAAAAAAAUAAAGAAAAAAGAAAAAAGAGAAAAUAGAAAUAAAAAAGAGGACAGAAAAAUAUGAAAAAAAAGAAAAAAGAAAAAAAGAAACGAAAAAAAUAAUAGAUGAAAAAAGAAAAAACGAAAGGAAAAACGGAUAAUGACAAGAGAAGAAAGGUAAAGAGAAAAGAAGAAAAAAGCCAAGUCAAAAAGUAAAGAAUAACUCGAAGGAAGGAGUGGAUGGCAAGAAAUACAGGGAAAGCAAUGCAUAGCACAGCAAAGCAAAGCAAGGCAAAAUAGCAGCCAAAGCCACGAGAAUCAAGAAGUCAGUGAAGAGCAGGAAAGGAAUGGAGGAAUCUGGCCAGAGCUGUGCCCCUGCUUGCCACAGGAGCUGCGCGGGAGGAGAAGAAUGUGGGCCAAAAGGUAAGAGGAGCUCCUUUGGGUUCUGGGCUUGAAGCAAAGCUGAGAAGCCAUGCCCGGGAGGAGGUGUGGGUAGCUACAGGCCACCUUGCUAUCUCCCCAAGAGAUGAGGUGUGUGGGCUAGGCACCGGGCAGGAGUGCUGG